GUCCAGCUGUGUCAGAGGACAAGAUCACCAUUCUCAAAUAGUCUUUGCUGCUCUGAAGGAGGGCAGUUUGUGAGAGUCCUGCCUAAUAGGCUUCUGACAGGGCCAGCUGGGUGCUCAACCUUGCCCUUUCCCCUUUUUAGUCUGAAUCAACACAAGAAAAAAGUAAGUUAUUUGUUAUAUUCUCUUCCUUCUGUUUGGCUGUUUUCCUUAGCUCAGAAGAAGGAUGUUUUGAACAGUUAGUGAUCAUUGAUUAUACCACAGUUUCAAAAAUGAAUGCCAUACCUACUACAAUGUCCUUUCCAGAUUUUACUUGUCUCUAAAUAUGGGGAAAGGAGGAUGUUGAAGGAGGAGUCUGCUCCUCUCCCUGCUCUGCUUUUUCUGUCAGUGCAUUAAUGUCUCAUGCUGGGACUCCCACCCAUACACAGGGCUGAUUUUACACUGAUCUUUAUGGCCUACAAAUUAUUGUGGUUUGGAUACAAAUCUUCUAUGCAGAAGGGCUUUCAGUAGGACAUGUGUGAGACUGAGCAUGCACUGCUGUUCCUCACUGCCCUAUCAGUCACAGU
rnacentral:lncRNA from 1 species